rnacentral:rRNA from 1 species
GACGAACGCUGGCGGCGUGCUUAACACAUGCAAGUCGAACGGAAAGGCCCUGCUUUUGUGGGGUGCUCGAGUGGCGAACGGGUGAGUAACACGUGAGUAACCUGCCCUUGACUUUGGGAUAACUUCAGGAAACUGGGGCUAAUACCGGAUAGGAGCUCCUGCUGCAUGGUGGGGGUUGGAAGGUUUCGGCGGUUGGGGAUGGACUCGCGGCUUAUCAGCUUGUUGGUGGGGUAGUGGCUUACCAAGGCUUUGACGGGUAGCCGGCCUGAGAGGGUGACCGGCCACAUUGGGACUGAGAUACGGCCCAGACUCCUACGGGAGGCAGCAGUGGGGAAUAUUGCACAAUGGGCGGAAGCCUGAUGCAGCAACGCCGCGUGCGGGAUGACGGCCUUCGGGUUGUAAAGCGCUUUCGCCUGUGACGAAGCGUGAGUGACGGUAAUGGGUAAAGAAGCACCGGCUAACUACGUG